GUGGUUCACCCUAGCCUUCAGAAGAGAACAUAAAUUUUGAAUUUUCUUUUCUGUUUCCAAGUUCUCUUUAUUCAUUCACCUCCUGUUUCCACUCACCUCCUCGGUUCACCCACUAGUGCUCCACAACAUAUUAUUUUUCAAAUUCUGCUCAAAUUCCAAAUUCAGUCACCCUCCACAAUAUCAUCCUUUCACCUCACACCGUCUUCUUAUUCCUCUUCAUCUCUUUCCCUAUUUCUUCUAUCUUCAUUUUCCAAGCACAUCUGGCCAUAGCUCACUCCUCCUCCGCUCUAUAGUAUCCCAUAACCAGAAGUCGUCUUCUUCCUCGAGAGCCACUACUUAUACCUCGCCGCUGGCGUUCCCCCCGCCUAUACGACACCCCCAUAGCCGCGGUCGUCGCAGUUUCAUCCUCCGAGCCACAAUCGCUCGAAUUCUACUCCUCUCCCUCCCUGUUGCGUUCACCGUCCCUCUCCUGCUCUCGCGCCCUUUACGAGCUCCGAUCCCAAAGGUCCCUCGGCUAGAAACCCUCCUCCUCCUCCAACGGAACCCGCUGUCGUGGAUUCCGACUCAGAGUUGGAGAAAUUGGAGUCUGAUUUGAAUGGAAUGGCGCACAAGAUUCUGAAAUUGGAGCUUCCAAAAACCCUCUGGAGUUGAUGGUGUUUGCUCAUUCAUGACCUUUCUCUCAGAUUGCGCACAAGCAUAAAUUGAUAAUUAUAUGCUGGGUUGUGGCUCAUUUAACUGCAAAAUUGUUUUGGUUCAUCUGUUAUCUGAACUCAACAUGUGAUCAGAUUGUUUACAUGUUUAAUACAUUAAUACAUAGGCUAUGCUAAGGAGGUUUGACAAGGUUCUAAUUAAAUGGGCGUUUUGCCUCUGUUUGGGAAGUGAAUGUUGCGGCUAUUGUUGCAGAGAAUAAGCAAUCAGCAGAGGAACGGAAAGAACCUUUCUUAGUUCGAGUAAUUUGGGGAAUUGCAAUGAACCAAUUGUUGAUGUUUUGUAUUGCUCCUAAUUUUUUAAUGUGUUUCUCACUCCCAUUCUGAUGCAUUCUUUUCCUUCUUGAAAUUACAUUCUUUUGUUCUUCAUGUAUAGUACAUUGGCAUAGGACGCCAAUGUAUUCUACUAACUAGCUGAUAGAUAAGUGUAUUUCCUAGCUGAAUAGAUAAGUGUAUUUCAUAAAUACAUGGUGUGUAGGAUUGCUUCACAAGUCUUCUUGCUUACUUUGGGUUCCUUUUCCUUCAAGUUUUUUUGAUGUAAUUCCGGGCAUGUUUUUUACAAUUGUGUAAUUGAGGUUACUAUUGAUUAUGCAGGUAUUGGAACUUCUCUGUGGUAGAGAACAUAAAGAGGGGAUGGCGGGAUCUAAUUGUCCAAUGGAAUAAUAUUUCAACUAUGGCUGCGAGCAGGUGAUGAGGAUGGCCAUGUCUGCAUAUCCCUACUAUAUUAGAAGCUUCCAUAUGUAUAUACAAGGUGGUGAAAAGGAUCUUGAAGGGGAAGAAGAUUGGAGCAUGUAUUUAGUAGACAGUGUAAAGGAAUGGAGUGAUGUUUAAGCAUAUGGUUUCACUAGAAAGAUGAACUGGACAUGAUUCUAUAAAGAAGGAAGUGGCUUGACCACGCUUGACCAAACUUGAAUGAAUGUAUUUUCCACAUAGUAUGCUUCACAAGAAAUCCGAGAAUGAAGUGCGCUUACUACUAUGAAAGAGUUGCUUGACCUAUUUGAAUUCCUCCCUUAUGAUUAAGAGCUCUAUGUUUGGAGAUUGUCUUGGCUAUAUGAAAACAUUGUGCCUAAGUCUCUACUUCAAACAUUGUGCCCUACCUUAUAUUAUACGAGGUUUAGAAAUAUAAGUCUACAUGAUGUUGUUUCCUUUUGCUGACAGACAAAGUUUCUUGCUGUAUGAUGCUUUGUUUGAACUUACUUUGGUUGUUGCUGCCCACACAUGGUGUUGUUCACUGUUA